GUGUUUUGGGGGAUGGUUUGGGUUACAGACCAAGGAUUGACCUGACCUUGAAACAGAGUAUAUCAAAUCUUCCGGCGUACAAAACAAGGGCCCCCAAGUCACAGGAUAAACACUUUUUCUUUCUUGUGUUGAGACUGAUCUUAUUUUGAGUACCACAUUGUGUCCCAAAUAAAGAAAUUGUAGGGAGUAUUUCAGAGCUGUCUCCUGUAGAUCAUUCUGUUUUUGUGUCUGCAGGCUCACUGGAAGGCUGGUGAUUUUUCUAAGUGUUAGCUUGACUCUAAGACUGAGGAGUGCUUCCCAAAUUCUGUCUCAACUACAGUAGUUUAGGAUAGAGAUGGGAAUCUCAAACAACUCUGGGUGACUUGGGUGUUUGAGUGAGCUUGGUCAUUUGAGGCCCGAGGAACAGUUCAGGUCUGCCUCGUGGUCUAGUCCCAAACAUCUGCAGGUGGAAAACAAGACAGUGAAAUGAGGAUUCCUUAGAUCUUGGCCAACUAUCAGACUUCACAACCAAAUUUAGGGGAGAGUAGAAAGAAGGCUUGAAGAUGGAAGAAGAGAGGUCUCUCAUUGAGAAUAUGGAUUCUAUAACCUUUUCUUCCAUGCUGCGAGGCUGAAUUUGUGAGUUGAUGAGUCUGGCCUGGUUGUACUUCCAUUUAUUACACAAUUCCAUGGGUUCAAGAGCUAUGACUGUCUAUAACUUUAACCACCAUGGGUGUGGGAGGAAACAUGAGAAGACACAGCCCAAAAGGCCUUGUUUAAGUGAUUUGCCUGUGCCUCUUAAAAUGAGAAAACUCCUGUGGUCUGAAGCCACAGAAAAGUUAUUUUUACUCUUUAAUUGCCACCAGUUUAUUUCCCCUAGUUCUCGUUAAAUGUGAUCUUUUUUUUAUUUGAUCUUUGGACAUAAAAGAUAAAGUUCUACAAAGACAGCUCAAAGUGGAGUGGAAAAAGGACUGUCCCUGUCAUCACACACCCCUAAACAUGGCUGUGUCUGCCAAAUCAUUUGGGUCCAACUCCCACAUUUAGCUCUUUCAAGCCAUUUUCCUGUUAUAAUUUGAAUCCCUGGGUUCCCUUCUUCCUCUUUCUUGUACCACCCCCUAGACUGACCCCACCCUUGUCUAUUGAAAUUGAAAGAUCAUUUUUUAAAAAAGGUUUAUUUAUUUAUUUUGGGGUGGGGAGUAGAGAGCGAUAGAGAGAACGUGUGUGAGCAGAGGAGGGCAGAGAGAAUCCCAAGUGGGUUCCUCACUUGACAGUAGAUGUUCCCAACUCAGGGCUUGAUCCCACAAACUGUCAUGACUGGAGCCAAAAUCAAGAGUCAGACGCUUAACCAACUGAGCCACUCAGGUGCCCCCGCAUGACUUUUUAAAUUGAAAAAUCUUAAUGUAAGACUUCGGAGUGAGUUGAAGAGCUGGGAAGAGAAACCAGGCUUUGUUUGGAAUCUAAAUACUCAUCACUUGAAAGUCUGAGGGGAAGCAGUAGGGCAUAGCAAUUAAGAACUUUGUGGUCUUCUGGGGCUAAAAAUACAGCCCAGCUUAACAACCUUGAGCAAUGAUUUAAACUCUCUAAACCUUAGUUUGCUUAUCUGUGAAGUGGGGAUAAUAAAAGAACCUACCUGAAAGAGUUGUAAUUCAGAUUUAAUGCGUUUAUGAACGUAAAUGCAUGUGCCCAAAUGCUAUGUAAUUGAUGGAUCCUGUAAUUUCUUCAAUUAAUUAAAUUAAAUGAUGAGCAACCAUAAUGACUCUUUGGGAAGCUCCCCUGCCUCAGUUGCAGAUUUUGAUUAGACCCUUCUCUGUCUAACAUAGAAAGGAAAGGCUGUACUUCUCCCAGGGCCCCAAUAGUCUACACCUUUGAUUUUUAUCCCAUUUCAAAGGAGUGUGUUGAAAACAAAAAUUGAAGAGCAGGGCUGCAGAGAUUAGUCCCUUUUUGCAAAUUUCUAUUUCUUUUCCCUUUGGUGAUUUAUUUCAUAUUAUGAUCCCUGGACUGCAAACAGAAAUACGAUGAACACCUUGGCAGAAGUCAUGAGAAAUGGCAUAGUCAUGAACGGAGAAAACCAGAAUUGUUAGGUGGCCAGGCAAAUGUUUGCCUUCUGCCCUUGGAAGUUGCUGCAGCCACCACAGCACUAUAGUGGGGGUUGCUUAUUUGUGGAAGGGGCUUGAUGUGCAGAGUUGGGGAGUUUAUGAGAAUGCUCCCGGGAUCUUUGUGUACUGAGGUUUGGAGCACCAGAUGUGAUGGGAGAUGAGCUCACGUUCUGCCAUGCAUGGUGUAGUGGCAGGGCACCCUUCUGCGGCCAGCCACUCUUUCCUGGAAGAGGCAGCGGAACUCAGUAGAGUGGAGCUGGACAACCUGCCUGUCACACAUCCUGCUGAUGAUCUCGUGCCCCAACCACGAGGUGCGCCUUCAUGCAUUUUCAAAUGAGGGUGAGGGUGGCCGAUGUUGGAUAGAUUUCGGGUUUCUUCCUUUCUUUCAAGGAUACAUGUGACAGGAAAAAGAAGAUAAACAAGGUCAACAUAGAAAGGUAAUUGUGUUCCACGGGAUCUCCGAUGAGGACCGAACCUCAGAGAGGUUUUAGGAAGCAAUGGACAGAGAAUGUGUUGAGUGAUGCCGAGUUGGACCUAAUCUCAACUCUGCGGUGUUCUAGCUGUGUGACCCUGGUGGCUAGCUGAGUUUCAGAUUCUUUACCUAUAGAAUAGGUAGGACAGUAAUGGCCUGGUGGGGCUUCUCCUCCAAGGACCAAGGUCAAUGGACAGUGCCAUGUUGUACAUGGUAGACAGCCAGUACUGGCACCGUGUGUUGUUGUCCUGUGUCCCUUUCUUUCCCUAGAGAAUCUUGUGCUCAGUUUAGCUACUUAUCUCUCUGGUAGCUGAUAUCUUCUCCCGCUUACAUCAUGGAGAACUAAUUGGAUGGAUUCUCACUGAUAAAUCCCUGGAACAAUUAAAAGUCAACUCUUUCUUAUUGGUAACACUAAAUGAGAUAGUAUAAGAGAAAACUCCAUUGGAAUCUUUUUUUAAAAAAAUUUAAGUUUAAUUUAUUUAUUUUGAGAGAGACAGAGACAGCAAAAGUGGGGGAGAGGCAGAGAGAGAGAGGGAGACAGCCAAGCAGGCUCAUGCUGUCAGCACGGAGCCGGACAUGGGCCUCGAACUCAUGAAACCAUGAGAUCAUGACCUGUGCUGAAACCAAGAGCUGGACGCUUAACAGACUGAGCCACCCAGGUGCCCCUGCAAUCCUUUUUAUAAACGUGUUUUUGGGGGAGUCUGGGGGGGCUCAGUCAGUUAAGCAUCCCACUUUAGCUCAGGUCAUAAUCUCGCUGCUCGCAGUUUCAAGCCCCACAUCAGGCCUGUGCUGACAGCUCAGAGCCUGCAGCCUGCUUCGGAUUCUGUGUCUCCCUCUCUCUCUGUUCCACCCUGGCUCACAAUCUCUCUCUCUCUCUCUCUCUCUCUCGCUCUC